rnacentral:rRNA from 1 species
GCAGUGGGAGCCUCUUUAUGGGGUGACUGCGUACCUUUUGUAUAAUGGGUCAGCGACUUAUAUUCUGUAGCAAGGUUAACCGAAUAGGGGAGCCGAAGGGAAACCGAGUCUUAACUGGGCGUUAAGUUGCAGGGUAUAGACCCGAAACCCGGUGAUCUAGCCAUGGGCAGGUUGAAGGUUGGGUAACACUAACUGGAGGACCGAACCGACUAAUGUUGAAAAAUUAGCGGAUGACUUGUGGCUGGGGGUGAAAGGCCAAUCAAACCGGGAGAUAGCUGGUUCUCCCCGAAAGCUAUUUAGGUAGCGCCUCGUGAAUUCAUCUCCGGGGGUAGAGCACUGUUUCGGCAAGGGGGUCAUCCCGACUUACCAACCCGAUGCAAACUGCGAAUACCGGAGAAUGUUAUCACGGGAGACACACGGCGGGUGCUAACGUCCGUCGUGAAGAGGGAAACAACCCAGACCGCCAGCUAAGGUCCCAAAGUCAUGGUUAAGUGGGAAACGAUGUGGGAAGGCCCAGACAGCCAGGAUGUUGGCUUAGAAGCAGCCAUCAUUUAAAGAAAGCGUAAUAGCUCACUGGUCGAGUCGGCCUGCGCGGAAGAUGUAACGGGGCUAAACCAUGCACCGAAGCUGCGGCAGCGACACUAUGUGUUGUUGGGUAGGGGAGCGUUCUGUAAGCCUGUGAAGGUGUACUGUGAGGUAUGCUGGAGGUAUCAGAAGUGCGAAUGCUGACAUAAGUAACGAUAAAGCGGGUGAAAAGCCCGCUCGCCGGAAGACCAAGGGUUCCUGUCCAACGUUAAUCGGGGCAGGGUGAGUCGACCCCUAAGGCGAGGCCGAAAGGCGUAGUCGAUGGGAAACAGGUUAAUAUUCCUGUACUUGGUGUUACUGCGAAGGGGGGACGGAGAAGGCUAUGUUGGCCGGGCGACGGUUGUCCCGGUUUAAGCGUGUAGGCUGGUUUUCCAGGCAAAUCCGGAAAAUCAAGGCUGAGGCGUGAUGACGAGGCACUACGGUGCUGAAGCAACAAAUGCCCUGCUUCCAGGAAAAGCCUCUAAGCAUCAGGUAACAUCAAAUCGUACCCCAAACCGACACAGGUGGUCAGGUAGAGAAUACCAAGGCGCUUGAGAGAACUCGGGUGAAGGAACUAGGCAAAAUGGUGCCGUAACUUCGGGAGAAGGCACGCUGAUAUGUAGGUGAAGUCCCUCGCGGAUGGAGCUGAAAUCAGUCGAAGAUACCAGCUGGCUGCAACUGUUUAUUAAAAACACAGCACUGUGCAAACACGAAAGUGGACGUAUACGGUGUGACGCCUGCCCGGUGCCGGAAGGUUAAUUGAUGGGGUUAGCGGUAACGCGAAGCUCUUGAUCGAAGCCCCGGUAAACGGCGGCCGUAACUAUAACGGUCCUAAGGUAGCGAAAUUCCUUGUCGGGUAAGUUCCGACCUGCACGAAUGGCGUAAUGAUGGCCAGGCUGUCUCCACCCGAGACUCAGUGAAAUUGAACUCGCUGUGAAGAUGCAGUGUACCCGCGGCAAGACGGAAAGACCCCGUGAACCUUUACUAUAGCUUGACACUGAACAUUGAGCCUUGAUGUGUAGGAUAGGUGGGAGGCUUUGAAGUGUGG